rnacentral:rRNA from 1 species
UACGGGGGGGGCAAGCGUUGUUCGGAAUUACUGGGCGUAAAGGGCUCGUAGGUGGCCAACUAAGUCAGACGUGAAAUCCCUCGGCUUAACCGGGGAACUGCGUCUGAUACUGGAUGGCUUGAGUUUGGGAGAGGGACGCGGAAUUCCAGGUGUAGCGGUGAAAUGCGUAGAUAUCUGGAGGAACACCGGUGGCGAAGGCGGCAUCCUGGACCAACACUGACGCUGAGUGAGCGAAAGCCAGGGGAGCAAACGGG